rnacentral:rRNA from 1 species
GGUUUAAUUCGAUGAUACGCGAGGAACCUUACCCGGGCUUGAACUGCCAGUGACUCAUGCAGAGACGCAUGUUUCUUCGGACACUGGCGGAGGUGCUGCAUGGUUGUCGUCAGCUCGUGCCGUGAGGUGUCGGCUUAAGUGCCAUAACGAGCGCAACCCUUCUCCUGUUUGCCAUCGGGUCAUGCCGGGCACUCCAGGGACACUGCCAUCGUAAGAUGUGA